rnacentral:rRNA from 1 species
CAAAAACAUGUCCUUUUGAAUUGUGAAUAUAAGGUCUGACCUGCCCAAUGAUUUAUUUAAUGGCCGCGGUAUAUUAACUGUGCUAAGGUAGCAUAAUCACUUGUCUUUUAAUUAAAGGCUAGAAUGAAUGGUCGGACGAGGUAUAAUCUUUCUUUAAUUUAGUUAUUGAACUUAAUUUUUUAGUUAAAAAGCUAAAAUGUAUUUGAGGGACGAGAAGACCCUAUAGAUCUUUACAUAUUUAUUUAUUAGAUAAAUUGGUUUAUUAUUAAUCAUAAUAAAUAAAUAUGUUUGGUUGGGGUGACUAUAGAAUAUAAAGAACUUCUAUUUUUAUAUUUUCAUUAAUUAAUGUAUAAUUGAUCCAAUUAUAUUGAUCAAAAGAUUAAGUUACCUUAGGGAUAACAGCGUAAUUUCUCCGGAGAGUUCUUAUCGAUGGGGAAGUUUGCGACCUCGAUGUUGGAUUAAAAUAAGUAGUGGGUGCAGGAGCUCACAAACUAGGUCUGUUCGACCUUUAAUUUUUUACAUGAUCUGAGU